rnacentral:rRNA from 1 species
UAAAACCUCUUUUUCAGGCAGGAACAAAUGAUCGUACCUGACGAAUAGCAUCGGCUAACUCCGUGCCAGCAGCCGCGGUAAGACGGAGGAUGCAAGUGUUAUCCGGAAUUACUGGGCGUAAAGCGUCUGUAGGUGGUUUAAUACGACAACUGUUAAAUCUUGGGGCUUAACCUCAAAACAGCGGUCGAAACUAUUAGACUAGAGUAUAGUAGAGGUAAAGGGAAUUUCCAGUGGAGCGGUGAAAUGCGUAGAUAUUGGAAAGAACACCGAUGGCGAAAGCACUUUACUGGGCUAUUACUAACACUCAGAGACGAAAGCUAGGGUAGCAAAUGGGAUUAGAUACCCCAGUAGUCCUAGCUGUAAACAAUGGAUACUAGAUGUUGAACAGAUCGACCUGUGCAGUAUUAAAGCUAACGCGUUAAGUAUCCCGCCUGCGAAGUAUGCUCGCAAGAGUGAAACUCAAAGGAA